AUGAAGGCUCCACACCUUCCCUUUUCAUGCAAAUUCAAUGAUAAUAAAACCUUAGCUUCUUAUGCUAAUGGUAGAUAUGAUUACUAUGAUGUGGAACAAAUAGAAGAAUUCGUUGCUUUUAUGGGUGCUUAUGAGAUUGAAUCUAUGUUUAAAGAGUUUGAUGAUUUUGAUGAUUUAGUUUAUAGACCUGAAAAUUUUGCUAUACUUAGAUAUUGCUAUGAAAAUUAUGAAUUCAAUUCCAAUAUUGAUGCAAUUAUUGAGAAAGUCUCCACUGUCAAAGAAGAGACUAAUAUUUUGCAGGAGUCUAUGGAAGAAGAAAUUGAUGAAACUGUGAGCUCAUUGGAUGAAAAAGAUGAUGAGGAGAGCGAAGAACAAAAGGAGGAAGAGCGGAUUAGCUACCCGUGCCCACCUUCUAAUGAGAGUAACUCUUCAACUCAUACAUUUUUUAAUUCCCCUUCAUGA
rnacentral:rRNA from 1 species